CAGUAGCCGCGGUAAUACGAAGGGUGCAAGCGUUAAUCGGAAUUACAGGGCGUAAAGCGUGCGUAGGCGGUUUGUUAAGUCUGCUGUGAAAUCCCCGGGCUCAACCUGGGAAUGGCAGUGGAUACUGGCAAGCUAGAGUGUGUCAGAGGAUGGUGGAAUUCCCGGUGUAGCGGUGAAAUGCGUAGAGAUCGGGAGGAACAUCAGUGGCGAAGGCGGCCAUCUGGGACAACACUGACGCUGAGGCACGAAAGCGUGGGGAGCAAACAGGAUUAGAUACCCGCGUAGUCCCUGUCUCUUAUAC
rnacentral:rRNA from 1 species